rnacentral:lncRNA from 1 species
AUGUGGAGCGGUUUUUCACAGGCCCAUUUUCCCCAGUUACUUCCUCCCGCCUGCACGUUUUCCUCUCCUAGUCAAUGCCAUGCUCACGUCACAAAUGCAACACGAAAAAGCCUUGGCUCCUUUCCCUUUCCCGCUUGCACAGCUGUGAUGGGUCCCCCAAGAGCGGGCACACAGCCUCCGCUGCGGGCGAGGAUAAGGAACAGGAAAAGGACCUCUUUCGAGACAUUUUCCUUGAAGCAGUUUGGAGGCGGGAAAGGCUGCAGCUUUCUGCUCCCAGUGGCUUUGGGUCAGCACGGACGUCAGGCCUAUUUACGGCUGCAAACAGGCCUGCGUCGUCCGGCACAUCUCAAAGCCACCUUCCUAUCUGGUGCCCCCAAGGUGGGCAGAGCUGCUAGGUGCCACCGCUCCCCCUGCGUGGCAGUGUGGUCACCCUAUGCCCUCGGGGCUGCCUUUCACGAUGAUCCCAGGGAACACAAGGUAACCUUGCAUCAAACACGGGAUUCAGUGUAGGCUGCUCUCACUGGCCUUCCACAGCCCCGAGAGGAGCUGCUCAAACCUUGGCGGGGCCAGGCGCUCACAGGCAUUCGCCAUCCCCCGUCCAAUCAGAGCAGACGUCCCAUUCCCUCGUGCUUCUGCCGCGCCUGCCUCUGCGCUGGGGCUUCAUCCGCUCCCACUCCCACGCCCUUCCUCAGGGAAGAAAAGCCCAACACGAGCCUGGGUUUGUUCCCACUUCCUCGCUGGGAGGCUGCGCAAUCGCUCACAGCCCUGGCAAGCAAGCGAAUCACAGAGAAUCACUUCCUCGAGGUGGGGGGUGAUUGUAAUUGAGAUUUGCCGAAGCACAAACCUCCUGAGCGGUGCCCCAGGACCCCAGCUCGCUGCUCAGGCCACGGCGAGGCGCUGCGAGCAUCGUGUGCCUGUCUGAAGGCCUCUGCAGCCAGGUAGGAUGAGCUCGGCGGUGUGGCGCCCUGGGGAAGCCGCAGGCGCCAGUCCUGUUUGCUGUACUCGGUGGAUAAACAGGUGCAAGGGCCUGCACACGACCGGCUGCUGAGGACACAGCUGCUGGGGCCACAGCGGGACCCACAGACCUAGACACAGGGAUUAUUAUACCCCCGCAGGCCACAGCGUCACCACCACCACCACCACCACCUGUGCUUCUCACCGCCCCAUAUCGUGUCAUAUCCUUGCUGCUUCAGGGCCCAGGGAAGACGCAACUAUUACAUUAGCAAGAGUGAAGCUGAAUUUCGACAGGGAUUCCAGAUAGAUAGAGACACACACACACACACACAUUGUUUUGCAUCACUAAGUAUGCCUAGUGCUCACUGGACACAGCUGCACCGAGCUGGGCUGCUCAGGUGGACAGGGAACCUGGUCUGAUUAAGGCAGUGGGCGAGGUGGGGAGCGCUCGGAGCCAGGUUCACGGGAGCCAAGCACGGGGACUGCGCCGGCGGCUGCAGCCCAGUUCAGAGCACUGGAAUUAUUUACACCACGCAGCCGCGCACCACUUCUGGGC